GGAGCCAAAAUGUCGAAGAGAGGGUUGCAGAUUGGCAUCUGACAUUUUGUUCCAAAGUGUACAUUUAACACAUUGAAAAACAAUAUAUAUUACAGGUCAAAAUCUUGGCUCGACUAUGCCAAGAGGUAUGAUCUUCUUGGAAAGUCUGCUUCGCAACACUAUGCCACCUAUCGCGUCUGCAGUGAUCACUUCACUGCAAAAGAUUUUAUGGACCCAGGGCAAACAACCCUAGUGCGAUCAGCUGUGCCUACUGUUCGUCCUCCCAUAAACUGGGCAUCUGCAAUAGGUCCCACUCAGGCAACCAGCUCAUCUGGCCCUUCACUCCAGUGCAGCUCCGUCGCAGCGAGCCGUUCUGUGCUUGCUAACAGGUUAUCUCGUCAUGGUGCACCUUUCCAGACCAGGCAGAGCCCGACAGACUGCAGAAUUCACCACUUCCAUGUAGCUCCGCAGUAAUGCACUCUGCAGCACUCGACCCAAGUCAGGCAACCAGCUCUUCUGGUCUUUUCGCUGGCCACUGUGGUCCAGGUCAACACUCUGGUCCAAACCAUCCUGCACCUGUUUUCCGCAAGCUCACGAAAAGGCCCGAGGACGUUAUCAAGCGACUCCAGGCGAGAAUUUCCAGCUACAGAAAGGCGAUAGCCAGACUGCGGAAACAGCAGCUGAAGACGCCUCAGACAGCUUCUCAAGCUCUGGAAAUAAUUCGGCCUCAUGUUUCUGAAGAGGUAUUUCACCUCAUAUCAUCGCAUGUAAAGAAUAGGUCGAAGGGCAAGGGGAA
rnacentral:lncRNA from 1 species